UACAGAGGUCCCGAGCGUUGUUCGGAUUCACUGGGCGUAAAGGGUGCGUAGGCGGUUCUGCAAGUCUGAUGUGAAAUCUCCAGGCCCAACCUGGAAACGGCAUUAGAAACUACAAGGCUAGAGGCUUGGAGGGGGGACUGGAAUGCUCGGUGUAGCAGUGAAAUGCGUAGAGAUCGAGCGGAACACCAGUGGCGAAGGCGAGUUCCUGGACAAGUCCUGACGCUGAGGCACGAAAGCGUGGGGAGCAAACGGG
rnacentral:rRNA from 1 species